UUGCAGCCAUACCCAUAUCUAUAACAGAACAGCCAAUCAUUUGCUAUUUCCAAGAAGAUGUGGUUGCAGAAAAGUAAGUGAACCAUUUAUUUUCCCAAAAUUAAAUGUGUUGAUUGUGUUAAUUAUCUGAGCUUUAUUUUCCCAGCAUUCAGAUUGUUGCCUAGGAAGAUGUUCCAAGAGAGUACAUUUUUUGCAUUCAGGGUUGGGAAAAGGUCUAUUUCAAGCCCGAAGCAAUGCAGGAUUAUGACUUUUGAGGGCUU